CCUACGGGUGGCAGCAGUGAGGAAUAUUGGUCAAUGGGCGCGAGCCUGAACCAGCCAAGUCGCGUGAGGGAAGACGGUCCUAUGGAUUGUAAACCUCUUUUGUCGGGGAGCAAAAGACGCCACGCGUGGCGUUCCGAGAGUACCCGAAGAAAAAGCAUCGGCUAACUCCGUGCCAGCAGCCGCGGUAAUACGGAGGAUGCGAGCGUUAUCCGGAUUUAUUGGGUUUAAAGGGUGCGCAGGCGGAAGAGCAGGUCAGCGGUAAACUUGUGAGGCUCAACCUCGUCGAGCCGUUGAAACUGGUUUUCUUGAGUGAGCGAGAAGUAUGCGGAAUGCGUGGUGUAGCGGUGAAAUGCAUAGAUAUCACGCAGAACUCCGAUUGCGAAGGCAGCAUACCGGCGCUCAACUGACGCUCAUGCACGAAAGUGUGGGUAUCGAACAGGAUUAGAUACCCGUGUAGUC
rnacentral:rRNA from 1 species